rnacentral:rRNA from 1 species
AACGAACGCUGGCGGCAUGCUUAACACAUGCAAGUCGAACGGUAACAGGGGAGCUUGCUCCUGCUGACGAGUGGCGCACGGGUGAGUAACGCGUGGAUACAUGCCUCGAUGUGGGGACAACAGUUGGAAACGACUGCUAAUACCGCAUAAUCCCUGAGGGGGAAAGGCUUCGGCCGCAUUGAGAGUGGUCCGCGUCGGAUUAGUUAGUUGGUGGGGUAAUGGCCUACCAAGACGACGAUCCGUAGCUGGUCUGAGAAGGUGACCAGCCACACUGGGACUGAGACACGGCCCAG